GUAGUUGUAACUUAAUAGGUAAAGAAUAGAAUUGUGGUUUCUAUUGAUAUGGGUUCAAACCCCAUCGAUUACC
rfam:Candidatus Nasuia deltocephalinicola str. NAS-ALF, complete genome.